AGCGAACGCUAGCGGCGGGCCUAACACAUGCAAGUCGAGCGCAUACCUUCGGGUAUGAGCGGCGGACGGGUGAGUAACACGUAGGUAAUCUACCCUUUGGUGGGGAAUAACCCGGGGAAACUCGGGCUAAUGCCGCACGAGGUCUACGGAUCAAAGCCUUCGGGCGCCAGAGGAUGAGCCUGCGUUGCAUUACCUAGUUGGCGGGGUAACGGCCCACCAAGGGGACGAUGCAUAGCUGGUCUGAGAGGAUGAUCAGCCACACUGGGACUGAGACACGGCCCAGACUCCUACGGGAGGCAGCAGUGGGGAAUAUUGCGCAAUGGGGGGAAACCCUGACGCAGCUACGCCGCGUGGGUGAUGAAGGCCUUCGGGUUGUAAAGCCCUGUCGGGAGGGACGAAUACUGACGGUACCUCCCAAGAAAGCACCGGCUAACUCCGUGCCAGCAGCCGCGGUAA
rnacentral:rRNA from 1 species